rnacentral:sRNA from 1 species
AGAGGACCGAGGGGGAGCCAGCAGUGAGUGCACUGGGGAGCUCCACACACGCGGCUCCGCAGCUUUGCGCGCCCCUCUACCGCGAGCGGCUGAGUAUCCGCCUGGCUCCCCUGCGGGGUUCCUCCGUGGUCUUCCGGAGAUUCUUUCUGAAGCAGCUGUAGAAUAGUCAAGCCUAUUUUUCUACUCCAUUUCUUUUUGUAAUGUGGGGUCACCUUUCCGCUCUAGAAAUUGCUUUUCUUACGCGAUUCCCACCCCAACUCUCGCCAAGGGCCCUGGUUCUCACCUCCGCAGUCUUAGCUUCUGACAAGCCUCCAAGAAACUGCGCUUUUUUCUUUUUUGGAGAUGCAGAGUAUGAAAAUGAUUUUGCAAGACUUUUCCAGGUCAUGAGGUACUCUCUGAGAAAUCUCUUCUGUUCCCUAAAGUAGUAAGUGACUCAACUGAAGUGAAGCAAUAAUUAUUAAAUGGAUGUCUAGUGGCCUAGAGGCAUUAACACAUUUUUUUCCUUUGAAGUUAUUGUACAAUUAAAUAACUUUAGAGUGGUAGUUCCCAAAAUGUGUGACUUUAGGCACUAGUUUGCCUAAAUGCUGCUCUAGCAAGUCAUUCACUACAAAAAUAUUGAGCCACUUCUAUAUGCCCUGGCUGGCACUCCAGGAACAGUGGUGAAGAAGACAGAUAUAUUUACCUGUCCUGAUAGAAGUUACAGUUUGGUGAAAACGAUAAAUUAGUAACAAGUGCAAAUAAGAUUUAUGCAGAUUUAUUUACACAAAUAAAAUAAAUGUAAGUCGUGAUGUAAAUAGUAGAUUUUGAGAUAAACAAUAAGAGAAAUCUCUUCAUUUUAGAGAUCCACAACGUAUGUUAAUAAAUUAAAGGCUGUGAAAAUUCCUAUGGUAAAAACAUUUUACCUAACCUAUUCCCCAAACCCCCAAAUUUGUUUUGAACAAAUUUGUUUGUAAGCAGUGCUUAUAAUAAAAUAGAAUAAUUUUUGUGAAAUGCUGCUUUGUUUUAAAAC